rnacentral:rRNA from 1 species
AUUGAACGCUGGCGGCAGGCCUAACACAUGCAAGUCGAACGGUAACAGGAAGCAGCUUGCUGCUUUGCUGACGAGUGGCGGACGGGUGAGUAAUGUCUGGGAAACUGCCCGAUGGAGGGGGAUAACUACUGGAAACGGUAGCUAAUACCGCAUAACGUCGCAAGACCAAAGAGGGGGACCUUAGGGCCUCUUGCCAUCGGAUGUGCCCAGAUGGGAUUAGCUAGUAGGUGGGGUAACGGCUCACCUAGGCGACGAUCCCUAGCUGGUCUGAGAGGAUGACCAGCCACACUGGAAGUGAGACACGGUCCAGACGCCUACGGGAGGCAGCAGUGGGGAAUAGUGCACAAUGGGCGCAAGCCUGAUGCAGCCAUGCCGCGUGUAUGAAGAAGGCCUUCGGGUUGUAAAGUACUUUCAGCGGGGAGGAAGGGAGUAAAGUUAAUACCUUUGCUCAUUGACGUUACCCGCAGAAGAAGCACCGGCUAACUCCGUG